AAUUUAUGCCCCAUCGUUUGAGCAUUUUCUCAAAUAUAUCCCACCCUAAGCAUAUUUACAAAACAAUACCCAUCGUUUCAUUUUUUUCUUAUUUGUGGCCCGCAAAAAAAAUUCAGCGACCGGUAUUUGACGUGUCCGGUCAAGCACCAUGUUGGAAGUACACGUGGAAUAAAAAAAAUAAAAAACAAUUUAUAGAAGACACCGUGUAUGCGCCUCUCUCUCUCUCCUUCGUUCACUCUCUCGCUCCCUUUCAUUCUCACACAGAUAACCUCCGCCGCCGCCCCUUUUCUGGCGAAGUCGCCGGUCAUUCUUCAUCAUCUCUAAUCUCUCAC
rnacentral:lncRNA from 1 species